rnacentral:rRNA from 1 species
CUGAAGCAACAAAUGCCCUGCUUCCAGGAAAAGCCUCUAAGCAUCAGGUAACAUCAAAUCGUACCCCAAACCGACACAGGUGGUCAGGUAGAGAAUACCAAGGCGCUUGAGAGAACUCGGGUGAAGGAACUAGGCAAAAUGGUGCCGUAACUUCGGGAGAAGGCACGCUGACACGUAGGUGAAGUGAUUUACUCAUGGAGCUGAAGUCAGUCGAAGAUACCAGCUGGCUGCAACUGUUUAUUAAAAACACAGCACUGUGCAAACACGAAAGUGGACGUAUACGGUGUGACGCCUGCCCGGUGCCGGAAGGUUAAUUGAUGGGGUCAGCGCAAGCGAAGCUCCUGAUCGAAGCCCCGGUAAACGGCGGCCGUAACUAUAACGGUCCUAAGGUAGCGAAAUUCCUUGUCGGGUAAGUUCCGACCUGCACGAAUGGCGUAAUGAUGGCCAGGCUGUCUCCACCCGAGACUCAGUGAAAUUGAACUCGCUGUGAAGAUGCAGUGUACCCGCGGCAAGACGGAAAGACCCCGUGAACCUUUACUAUAGCUUGACACUGAACAUUGAGCCUUGAUGUGUAGGAUAGGUGGGAGGCUUUGAAGUGUGGACGCCAGUCUGCAUGGAGCCGGCCUUGAAAUACCACCCUUUAAUGUUUGAUGUUCUAACGUGGACCCGUGAUCCGGGUUGCGGACAGUGUCUGGUGGGUAGUUUGACUGGGGCGGUCUCCUCCUAAAGAGUAACGGAGGAGCACGAAGGUUGGCUAAUCCUGGUCGGACAUCAGGAGGUUAGUGCAAUGGCAUAAGCCAGCUUGACUGCGAGCGUGACGGCGCGAGCAGGUGCGAAAGCAGGUCAUAGUGAUCCGGUGGUUCUGAAUGGAAGGGCCAUCGCUCAACGGAUAAAAGGUACUCCGGGGAUAACAGGCUGAUACCGCCCAAGAGUUCAUAUCGACGGCGGUGUUUGGCACCUCGAUGUCGGCUCAUCACAUCCUGGGGCUGAAGUAGGUCCCAAGGGUAUGGCUGUUCGCCAUUUAAAGUGGUACGCGAGCUGGGUUUAGAACGUCGUGAGACAGUUCGGUCCCUAUCUGCCGUGGGCGCUGGAGAACUGAGGGGGGCUGCUCCUAGUACGAGAGGACCGGAGUGGACGCAUCACUGGUGUUCGGGUUGUCAUGCCAAUGGCACUGCCCGGUAGCUAAAUGCGGAAGAGAUAAGUGCUGAAAGCAUCUAAGCACGAAACUUGCCCCGAGAUGAGUUCUCCCUGAGACUUUAGGUCUCCUGAAGGAACGUUGAAGACGACGACGUUGAUAGGCCGGGUGUGUAAGCGCAGCGAUGCGUUGAGCUAACCGGUACUAAUGAACCGUGAGGCUUAACCUUACA